UAUAAUAAAUUCUAGUUUUAUUUGGAACCCACAAAACCAUAUUACUCUAAGUAAAAUAAAAGAGCUUGUGUUUUAUUAAAAAGUACUGUAAUAUAUAUGUUACAUUUUGCUGUUGCUAAUUAUUAGUUACAUAAGGUUUGAAGUCUCGGCAUGUCAAAGUCAAACUACCGGAUAACGCUAGACAAUCAAUAGCAUGGGUAUAGCACCAUAAAUAGCAAUCAAACUUUAGACUCUUUACUACGCUAGCUAAAGUAGCCAACUCUUACGAGGCUGCCUAAACAAGUUUAACACGGUUCUUCUGGGACAGUUACUACAUCAGGUUAUGUGUUAGAGAAGACCUAAUGGUUCCAACUUCAGCAAUAGAAAAGAUUGUACAAAUCAAUAAAGAAUAUUAGUAA